GAUGAACGCUGGCGGCGUGCCUAACACAUGCAAGUCGAACGGUUGAGUACUUGACUUUUAGUUACUGAUUGUAAGAGAUGAGUGAUUAAAAGUUGAGUACUCGAUAGUGGCGGACGGGUGAGUAACGCGUAAGUAAUCAACCUGUGACACACGGAUAACUGAUAGAAAUGUCAGCUAAUACGAGAUGAACUGUUUAAAUUGGGAAAUGGAAACAGCAAAGCGAAAGCGGUCACAGACGAGCUUGCGUCUGAUUAGCUAGUUGGUGGGGUAAGAGCCUACCAAGGCGACGAUCAGUAGCCGGCCUGAGAGGGUGAACGGCCACAUUGGAACUGAGACACGGUCCAAACUCCUACGGGAGGCAGCAGUGGGGGAUAUUGCACAAUGGGGGGAACCCUGAUGCAGCAACGCCGCGUGAGUGAAGAAGGCCCUAGGGUCGUAAAAGCUCUGUCGUAUGGAAAG
rnacentral:rRNA from 1 species